GACAUUUUCUAUGAUGCGCGAUUCGGGGCAGACCAGGAUGGGUUUGCUUUUUAACCGGGAAACAACGAAAGCGACAUCAUCUUUGACUAGCCUAAAUACGGAGCUGACGAGGAGGAGGCUUAACGUUAACAGGGAAAACACCUACAGUCCUGCAUCUUUGACUCGUGACGCAUUUCAAAAAGCAGUGCAGAAUGCAGACACGGAGUUUGCUUUUAACAGUGAAAACACCGAGUAGCUAGACCAACUCCACAAACUGCGGACCAACAAUGCACGUGAAAUUUUCACUUUAUUUCCUUAUUUGGAGGACCAAUCUUCUUAGAAUGGGAGCAAUUCUAUGAUGCACCAAGUGGCUAAGGGUACCAGGCUUGGUGUUUAAAGACUGUACAGACUAGAACCUGGUGAUGGAAAGAUAACAGAUAAGUUAACAUAUGAGAGAAUCA